rnacentral:rRNA from 1 species
GUACAUCUCUCGCUCCAGCGCCCCGCGGUGGCUAGCCAGAACCCCAACUUCUGUGGUUGACCUCGGAUCAGGUAGGGAUACCCGCUGAACUUAAGCAUAUCAAUAAC